rnacentral:misc_RNA from 1 species
AACGCACAUUGCGCCCGCCAGUAUUCUGGCGGGCAUGCCUGUUCGAGCGUCAUUUCAACCCUCAGGCCCCCCCGGGCGGCCUGGUGUUGGGGACCGGCGGGUGCCCUCCCGCCGCCCCCGAAAUGAAUUGGCGGCCUCGUCGCGGCCUUCCUCUGCGUAGUAGCACAACCUCGCAGCAGGAGCGCGGCGCGGCCACUGCCGUAAAACGCACCCAACUUCUCAAGAGUUGACCUCGAAUCAGGUAGGAAUACCCGCUGAACUUAA